CGGACGGUAGCACAGAGGAGCUUGCUCCUCGGGUGACGAGUGGCAGACGGGUGAGUAGUGUGUGGGGAUCUGCCCUAUAGAGGGGGAUAACCUCUGGAAACGGUGGCUAAUACCGCAUAACCUCGCGAGACCAAAGAGGGGGACCUUCGGGCCUCUCACUAUCGGAUGAACCCAGAUGGGAUUAGCUAGUAGGCGGGGUAACGGCCCCCCUACGCCACUAUCCCUAUCUGGUCUGAGAGGAUGACCAGCCACACUGGAACUGACACACGGUCCAGACUCCUACGGGAGGCAGCAGUGGGGAAUAUUGCACAAUGGGCGCAAGCCUGAUGCACCCAUGCCGCGUGUAUGAAGAAGGCCUUCGGGUUGUAAAGUACUUUCAGCGGGGAGGAAGGCGAUGUGGUUAAUAACCGCGUCUAUUGACGUUACCCGCAGAAGAAGCACCGGCUAACUCCGUGCCAGCAGCCGCGGUAAUACAGAGGGUGCAAGCGUUAAUCAGAAUUACUGGGCGUAAAGCGCACGCGCGCGGUCUGUUAAGUCAGAUGUGAAAUCCCCGGGCUUAACCUGGGAACUGCAUUUGAAACUG
rnacentral:rRNA from 1 species